UCGAGAAUUUUUCACAAUGGGCGAAAGCCUGAUGGAGCGACGCCGCGUGGGGGAUGAAUGGCUUCGGCCCGUAAACCCCUGUCAUUCGCGAGCAAACGUUAUUAUUUAAAAGAUGAUAGCCUGAUAGUAGCGAAAGAGGAAGGGACGGCUAACUCUGUGCCAGCAGCCGCGGUAAUACAGAGGUCCCAAGCGUUGUUCGGAUUUACUGGGCGUAAAGGGUGCGUAGGUGGUGGGGUAAGUCGGAUGUGAAAUCUCCGAGCUCCACUCGGAAAGUGCAUUGGAAACUACCCUGCUCGAGGGUUGGAGGGGGGACUGGAAUACUUGGUGUAGGAGUGAAAUGCGUAGAUAUCAAGUGGAACACCAGUGGCGAAGGCGAGUCCCUGGGCAACUACUGACACUGAGGCACGAAAGCUAGGGGAGCAAACAG
rnacentral:rRNA from 1 species